AUCUUUGCGCUUGAGGUUCUAACCCAUCGAGGCACGUCUAUUGCUGGUUGAAAACUAUUUCCAAACCCCCUGGGUCUGGGUUAAGCCCAGUGCCCUCGAGAAUUUCUGGAAUGGCUCCCUUUGGGUAAAAGCC